GAGACGUUAGUAAACUAAUUACAUAGACUUGUCAAGGCUAAAUCACAGGUAACAACUCCUGUACAUCUCA
rnacentral:tRNA from 1 species